AUUAUAGGGCCUGAUCCAAAGCCUAUUGAAGUUGAUGGAGAGUUUACCACUGACUUCAGUGGGCUUUGGAUCAGGCCCUGAUAGU
rnacentral:pre_miRNA from 1 species